rnacentral:rRNA from 1 species
UACGUAGGGCGCAAGCGUUAUCCGGAAUUAUUGGGCGUAAAGAGCUCGUAGGCGGUUUGUUGCGUCGGCUGUGAAAACUUCACGCUUAACGUGGAGCCUGCAGUCGAUACGGGCAGACUUGAGUUCGGCAGGGGAGACUGGAAUUCCUGGUGUAGCGGUGAAAUGCGCAGAUAUCAGGAGGAACACCGGUGGCGAAGGCGGGUCUCUGGGCCGAUACUGACGCUGAGGAGCGAAAGCGUGGGGAGCGAACAGG